UGAGUCUUCAUUGUUUAUUAAUUUAUUACUCAAUUAAAAACCAAAAACUUUAUUUUCCUCCUGGACAAUGCUGAGUAUUUCAGCCCACCUUGCUUUUCCCCCUGCUUUGACAGAAUUAAUAAGCACUGCCAUCCGUGUUGAUUUUGAGCAGGGAUACGACGAGGGUCACAUAAGCAGUGAAGCAACAAUAGCUGGGAGUGUACGAAACAAUUCCAGUAAGUUUCAGUGUGAACCUUCAAACACGCGUCACAUUCAGGGCCCCUAUGUUUGUCCUGGAUUAGUGGCUCCAAUGAAGGUUCUUUGUGGUAUUUUUGCUGUUCACACUUAAAAGAUGAGAUUUUUGUCAUUGGUACCCAUAACUAAUCUGUCUGUUCACAGUAAUUUUAAUACUACUAACAAAGUGCUGCAGGCCUUGGACUUGAUCCUGAUGUGUUAAUGCAUGUUCUUCUAUCCUGAGGUGGUCUUGCUUAAUUCUGCUAACAAAUUCUUUGUCACACAGAGAAAGUGCUGAACGCUGAGAGUGGAGUGGACGUGUGUUUCCUGAAAGUAAGAUAACCCUUCUCUGUUUGUUCAGUUAAAUAGCCUUGAAGUUGUUUCCUUUGGAUGGUGAUGGUAUGAAAGUUCUGGCCCAGUGUUUUAUUGCCACAGUGGAUUAUGCAUUGUUUUUUUUGUUUAACUAUGAUAUAGAGACACCAUUUAUGUACCUUACGGGAGGCUGAGAAGUGUGAUCCUUUAGAAACUGGAGCAAUACUCACUUGCCUCAUUUUUAAAAAUGGGAGGCCACCACUUUUGUGUGGCAGUCCCAGGGCACUGUCCCUGUUUUCCACACCACAUUGAAGAAGGGCAGCAGCCAAAAGCACCACACGAUAUCCUGUGCAUUUUCAUUCAGAUCCCCUCAGUCACAGCAGAGACCUCGGCCACAGAAACGGGCCCAACCCCACGCAGUGUUUCUGGCGAGGGCAUAGCCAUUGGAUGUGGGAGUUGCUCAGAGUGCGCCCUUUACCUUUCAAUGAUAUUCUCGGUUGAGGUUGUUGAUUAUUGAUGAGAACAGGCCAUCCAGUGUCCUGCUUGCCUUUCCUGAAUCAUUGAAUGGUUUUCUAGAAUAAAUGUCGUCCUCCAUGACUGUGCAAAACUCCAGCAUCAUGUGGGCCUUCAGUUCAUUUGUUACCACAGCUGCCACCCUCCUGGAGAUCUUCCUAACAUUACUUUGCAGGCCUCUUUCUUCACCAUGCUAACUUUCCUUCCUGCUGAUGUCCAGGUUCUCUUAGGUUUCCCGCACAGCAAGUACCAGCAGCCUUUUGGCCACACACCCUUGCCAUGCAAAUCAAUUUAUAACUUUUAUGUAAGUGUUUUUUCUGGAUUUUUGGUUGAUAUUUUGUCUCUCUCCAUUAAAAUGGAACUACCAUCAAAAUUAGUCGGUUCAUGUUUUUGUAAGUAAGCCAACUUACAAAUUCAGCAGUGGAUCAAAUAUUUAUUUCCCCCACUGUUGCUACUGCUAUUAUGUGUGUUUUCCUUUGUAAUGAGAAUUAAAAAAAUAAAAUAAAAAAGAAGUUUAUAAAACCUUCAGAAGGCCACAUUGGCUUGGUUGGGGUCAACAGAACUGUAAUGCACUGUACACUUGACAAGUGCUUAUUGAUUGUAAACUCUUUAUUUAAAAUUAAUAGCCAAGAUCGCCAUGAACAAGAUGGAGAGCUUUUAUUACAGCACUGGAGCCCACACGUGAACAGCUCGCUUCUCUGAUGAGCUCAAAAUCUCCAUGUGACAUUGCAGAAUCUUAGCCAUUAACAAUACGCCAAACUUCUGCAGAUUGGUUCUUUAGACGAGAGGCGUUAUGUAAUGCCAUACUGUAAGGCAGUGAAUGUCUGAAGAGCGUCAGACUCUGCUGAUCUCCUAGACUUUGCAGCAGUCCAGCAGUGACAAUUAACAACAAGCAGAGCAGACUCCCAGGAUGAUGAAAACUGCAACUGCUUCAGAGUCAGACCCACAUAACCGGAUCACCUGGAAAAUCAGGAUGAAAAUACCGUUAAUAAGGUAAAAAAGACUGCAUAUCCACCGAUAUAACUGCUUACUGUAUUUGAAUAAAAAUCUACCAAAAUUAGUUUUGUAAUUUCUAUGUUGACUCCAAAACCCAGAACCUUGGAAAUAAUGACUCAUUUAAUUACGCUAGGAGUCCAAUGAAAAACAGAAGCUGGUUGGAACAAAAACCUGCAGCCACAGGGCGUCCCCAGGACUGAGUUUGGGGACCACUGCCUUAAAAUAUUCAGCUUGUGAUAGCAUCGUCUACACGCAGUAUGUGUGCACAAUUUGUCCAAUUCAGGAUCACAUGCAGCCAAUCUCAAUCCUGGUCGCUUCAGGCACAAGA